ACCAACCCCAUUUUCCCCUUUCUCAUCUCUCAACUCGUCUCUCUCAUCCCUCGCCGUCCGCCGCCGCCGAAAAUCGCCUACGGCGGCGGCGCUACUCCAACCCCUCUCAAAUUCACACCCUAUACUCCUCUCUCAAUCCUCAACACAAACCUACCUCUAAUUUCCCCAAUACCCCCACCAAACUGCUCCAAUUCCAGAUCCAAAAUUGAACCCUAGCCUCUUGCCCCCUUUUCAAAUACUCGACCAAUUUCACCUUAUUUUCGGUUGAAAUUUACAUCAAUUGAAAGCUCUUGAUAAGAGCUUUCCACUGAUGUAAGAUUCACGUUGUAUCUCGGAGAUUGCAUUUUGGUCAGAGUCGUGUUUGUUCGUCGAGUUUUUAUCAGAGUUCUAUGUUCGCUUUCUCUUAAAGAUUAAUAGCCAUGCCUAUUGUCGUUGCUUCUGUUUACUUAUAUGGAUGAAGUUCAAGUAUGGAAUUCAAGAUGAAAUUGGAUGCAUGAAGGGCUACUAAAUCAAAUGUUUAAGUGUUCUUAUUCAUGUUUAGAUUAGAGCACUUCAGUGUAUGUAGGAGUUCAGCAGUGUAAACGUGUUAAAAUUCUGAUUUUAGUAUGAAUAAUUUGAAACAUCUCAUGUGCUAAGAUUUGUAACUAAUUUUCCUAUGCUUGUGGUGUAUUGAAAUGAUCAUGCAUAGGUUUAAACUUGCGAUGAA